rnacentral:lncRNA from 1 species
AUCACAUGAUGCAGAGGAAGGCAGGAAGUGCUAAUGAUUUGCAGCAAACCACCAGAAGCUUGACAAGAGGCAUGGAGCAGAUGCUUCCUCACAGCCCUCAGAAGGAACCAACCCGCCAACCCCUUGAUCUCAGAUUUCUGGCCUCCAGAACCGCGAGACAGCAGAUUUCCAUGGCUUGAGCCGCCCGGUUUGUAGUACUUCAUUAUGGCAGCUCCAGCAAACAAAUACAGAUUUAUGACCUCGUCUACCCGACGAGGAUGCCUGGCCCAAGCUGGCAUACUAAGAGUUUUCCUGGAACUUGGGAACUGGGACAAAGAGGGACUAAGCCAGCAAGACCGAAAAGCAUGGCAGUCCCAGGACAGCCAUGAAAACCAUAUGUGAAUUAAUGAGUGAGCAGAUUGGAGCAGCAUUGUUUUGGACCCUAAGGACGUCACGUACAAAAUGCACUUAAAUCCUUGCCUCCUGGAGCUGAUGAUAAAGAAGAUGGACAAGUAAAACAUAUGGAAUGUGAAAUGGUGAUAAGAGUGAUGGAGAAAAUAAAACAGGAGAGGAGGUUGGAAUUGCCAGGUUACGACACAGCAAGAAGGCCCUCGCCAGAUGCAUCUCCUCCAUGUUGGACUUCCCAGCCUCCAGAUCCCUGAGCCAGAUAAAUUUCUAUGGUUUACAAAUUACCUAGUCUGUGGUAGUCUGUUACAGCAAUACAAAUGGACUAAGACAAUUAUCAUAUCUAACAAAACAAAAAUUCUUUCAAAUCAUCAUGUAUCCAUUCAAAUUCAAAAUUUCUUGAUUGUGUCGAAGUAAGGUUUUUUUAAACAUUAAUUUAGUUUGAUUCACAUUUCAAUUUUUAGUCUAGCACAGGAUCACCCACGAGGGAGCAUUUUGAAAAAGUGUGGAGUGUUUUUGGUUGCCCCAAUGAUGGGUAAGGGGCUUACUUCUGGCAAGUAGAGGCUGGGACCCCAGGCAGCUCAAUCUUUUACUAUCUGUGAGACAAUCUCACCAUCUCAUAUAUACUUACCCUAUGCUCCACACAAUUUUCAAAUGUUCUACUAGAUAUUUACAGAGUUGUUUAUAACUUGCUUAUAACUAUCUGAGCUUUAAAAAGUAACAAUUUUAUAUGUAAACAGAGAGACUUUUUAAAAAUGAUUUUUAAUAUGCACUAACUGUAUGCUAAGAAUGAAACUACUCUGUAAAUUAAGGGAAGAUUAGAGUUUGUGUUGUUAAUUUCUUUACCAGAUUUGCUCACUCUUUUGGAAAAUCACAUCAUUGACUGCCACACCACUCAUGGUAAUUGAGUCUCCAAUAUGCCUGUAUUAGUUUUCAUUCAUAGCUGUCAUAACUGUGGUGUUUUGCUUUUAGGAAAUAGUGCCUGUCUUAUCAUGUAUCCCGCAUAGUCCUCUCUGAGUUGUUGGCUAUUGAAAUACACCCCUAUGUGUGAUUCCUUAGCUUCUUCCUACUCUAAGUGUUGCUCAGUCCUUCUCAUCAUGCCUGAACCAGAUACUGUGGUCUCCAGCUGUCUUUCUCUUAGAAUAAUGUCCCAGCAUUUAGGUUUGGUUGGGGACGGGAGCAAGGGGUGGGCAUGAAUUUCCUGAGCUUCCCUGGCAUUUGCAGGGAGACAGCAAGGGAAUACCUCUGUGGGUCACAACAGAGGGAGAGCCAGCUGAGCUUGCAGGAUGGAAACAUUUAGUAGGCUCCCUCCAGCCAUCACUGUCUCCACUACUGCUGACGCCACCAUCCAUAACAAAGCUUCCAAUUUGCAGGCUUCAGAUUCAGCUUCUGUUUCCUGAGUGCCUCCACUAUACCAGCCAUUGGGCCAGGCAUCCAGAAGCCCUAAGGUAGACCUCAUCAUCCCUGUUCUACAGGAGAGGAAAACCAAGACUUGGCUACUACAGUAUACAAAGGGUGUGGAAAAGUCCUCCUAGAACCCUUACCCUGCUUCCAGGAGGAGCUGGACAGUUCUUUCCAAGUCCAGGCAGAAAGAAGUCUCCUCUUUUUCCAUUCUCUUUGUUACUUUAUAUGUCUGUGCAGGCUUGGUUGAGGAAGAAGGGGGGCCAGAAGGAAGUCUGGCCAGAUGGCAGGGUAAUAAAUGACUCUGACUUAAUAAUUUGUUGCUCUCCUCUUAAUUAAAAGGCUUUUCCCUAAAUGAUUUGCUGAUCACACAAACAGCACACACUAGUUGGGCGAGGACUGGGGGCCCAGGGAAAUCUAGACUGAGAGGAGAAGGCAUUGGAAUAAAGAGGUGGCAGAUGGCAGAAGAAGCCCACCCUCCAUGUCCCAGGGUGGGCCCAGCUUCAGGAGCUCCCUCCUCCUCAGGUCUGAAACAAUUCAAUCCAAUGAUAGAGCUUUGGGGGACUGGUUCUUCUUUCAGGCCUCAGCUUUUCUGGAAGCUGACUUUGCCAGGGGGCUUUUUAAUUUCUGGGAUGAAGAUAUAAGCUUUAUUUUAUCUAACACGUGGCUUUGCAUUCAGUUUCCUCAAAGCCCCAUGUGGCCUUGGGGGGUGAUCAGGUAGCCUUUGGACCAUUUUGCAUAUAAACUGUCACUUAUACACUUGAUCAACUGGGGUGGUGGUCAUAGAGGGGGACAGGGCACCCAUUGUUCCAAGCAGCGUCCUGUCAAUAUCUGCAGUUGCAAGCAAAUGACACUAGAUAGUGUCAAUGGAUAAGCUCUCUAUUGCAUCUUUACAACUGCAAUUUAUAAGUUCCUGGGAUUAAAAUCUGCUUUCCAGCAAUUAUCACACAGAGGUAUAUUUUCAAAGCCUCACAUGUAAUUAGAACAUGUUAUUGAUAAAGUGCUAGCUAAAGAUUUAGACUUUGAGUCUGUUCAUGAGGGAUCAGUUUUGUUAAUAUUGAUAAUGUUUUCCCCCUUUAAUGCAGUUAGGAGUUAGAUUGAGAUGCCAAAUUCAAUCAAAAUGCACAUCUUAUCCCCCGCCAAGGGACUUCUGGCUCUCUUUUACUUGUUCAGACUUGUAGAAAGGACCCCAGAGAUCGUGUCAUAUAGGAAAACAUCCUGCCAAUCUAUAACUCUAUGUUAAAGAAUAAACUCUUUUACACAUUAUUUUGGUUAACUAGAUUUUUCUCAGCAUUUGUGCUUCCAUCAGAUUGGAUCAUCCUUGCCAUAACCACCAUCUUCCUAUUAUUGCUGGAUUCCAAAUUUCUACUUAGCCAGUUCAGACACCACUUCAUCCGCUUAACCUUCCUGAUUCUGUAUUCCCUGUGUCUCCAUCAUCAGAGCUCCUCACUAAACCCCCAAGGCCAUUUAUCUGUGAUUGAUUGAUUGAUUUCUUUUUAGAGACGGAGUCUCACUAUGUUUCCCAGGCUAGAGCACAGUGUCUAUUCACAGGCAUAAUCAUAGCCCACUAAGGCCUUGAAUUCCUGGGCUCAAGCAACCCUCUUGACUCAGCCUCCUAAGCAGCUGGGACUACAGGCACACACCACUGCACUGAUCUUAUCCACAAUUCUUUUUUUAUUAUAUUUUCCACACAGGUAUUCUCUCUUCUCCUAGUCUUUAAGUUCCUUGAGACAAACUUUCUUUUUAGUGUUUGUAUUUCAUCUGUUGGCAACAGUAUCUUGCACACAAAUCAUAAAGACCAAGUUGAAGAGGCUUCUUACUUUGUUUCAUCAGUCUGCUAAUAUGUUAUCAAUAUCACACUAGUUUUAUUAUUGUAGCUUUGUAGUAUAUUUUAAACAUUAAUAGAAUAAUAACUUACAUUUAUUGAUUACUUAAUGUAUUCCAGGCAAUGAGCUAAGUGCUUUACAUGAUCUCAGGUAAUCCUAACAGGAAGUCUAUGGGAUAGGUACAAUUAUUUCCAUAUUACAGAUGGAAAAAACAAAAUUUAAAGAGAUGAAUUUACUCCAAGACAAAUGCAAAAAGUGCAGAACAGUGUAUAUAGCACACUGCCAUCUGUAUGAAAGGGAAGAUAAAUAAAUGUUUUUACUUAAAUGUGCAUAGAAUAUAUCCAGAAAAAUAUGCA